GACGAACGCUGGCGGCGUGCUUAACACAUGCAAGUCGAACGGUAAGGCCCUUCGGGGUACACGAGUGGCGAACGGGUGAGUAACACGUGGGUGAUCUGCCCUGCACUUCGGGAUAAGCCUGGGAAACUGGGUCUAAUACCGGAUAGGACUCCUGGCUUCAUGGUUGGGGGUGGAAAGCUUUUGCGGUGUGGGAUGGGCCCGCGGCCUAUCAGCUUGUUGGUGGGGUAAUGGCCUACCAAGGCGACGACGGGUAGCCGGCCUGCGAGGGUGACCGGUCACACUGGGACUGAGAUACGGCCCAGACUCCUACGGGAGGCAGCAGUAGGGAAUAUUGCACAAUGGGCGCAAGCCUGAUGCAGCGACGCCGCGUGAGGGAUGACGGCCUUCGGGUUGUAAACCUCUUUCAGCUAUGACGAAGCGCAAGUGACGGUAGUAGCAGAAGAAGGACCGGCCAACUACGUGCCAGCCGCCGCGGUAA
rnacentral:rRNA from 1 species